rnacentral:lncRNA from 1 species
CUAACAAUAUCUGCUGCCAUGGACUGUUAACUAUAGCUAAAGCCAGCGAGCCGCCGAUAUGGUCGUUGAGCUCAGAGGCGGCUCUGUAACUUGCUUGGUACUGAACCAAGAAUACUGCUACUAUGGCUGUCCCAAUUGGGAAUUUCUUUAUCCUGAAAUGUCUUCUAUUGUCUCUUCUACUAGCAGGUUUCUCUUCUGAAGGAAAUGUCUUACGAGUCACUUGCGGAAUCGAGCUAGCUUUGGAACUGGUGUUGUUUCCAGACGAGGGAAGAGCUGUGUUUGAUGGAGUCCAAUAAUCUUCUCCAAGCAUGUAAGCUGAUCCUUUUUCUUUAGUUUUCCCCCCGCUCUGUUCUGCUUGUUUCAUUGCUGCCACAGCAUCUUGAAGCUUUCUGAUAUCUGGAUCAACUGUUUUUUUUCGUUUGGUGAAAGUUAGACUCAUGUUUGAAUCUGGACUCAACGGUUUCGUGUACGGUGAUGAUCUCCAGUAUAGCCAAUUGGAAAUGGACCUUAUUGCCUCUACUGCACUUAUUUGUACUUCUCUCUGCAAGUAUUAAUAUAACUACUUAUUAUCUGACAGGUAAGUUUAUAACUUGGCUUUUACUACUUCUUACUUCUUAGGAUAAUGGAUAACUCACCUGGGAAGUUUCUUUCGUGGUUCGGCUCAUGGCUUUGGCGUAUCUUUCUUGGAACUUCUUGACAUCAACAAAUACAUUGGAGACACGCUCGCCAACCGUGUUUCCAACCCCGAUUCUCACGUUGCCUCGUGGUUGCUUUGACAUAAGGAACUCUAAUGGAGCAAGGUCAGAUCUCUCCACCAUUCUGCACAUCUCAUAAAGAAUCAUACUUUAUGUAUUUCUCUAAAUGUCUCUCUUGACUUCACAUAUUGAGAGGGAAUUGAAACAAAACCAUUACUACAUGUCUACAUCUACUAGUUAUGUGCUUACGAAAUGCAGUCGACAAGGCAAGCUUCGAUGGCUUCUUUGAUUUUGGAUUCAGGAUCAGCCCAUUGAGCAACAACCCUCGCUCUCCCGUAAGCAGUUUCAAUAGCAAAUGUUUUCUCUGCACACAAAGCACACUUUAAGCAACCAACACACUUAACCUCGUCAACAAAUGCAGCUCGUUGCUCUGUUUCUGGUCCACACCAAACCGAAUAGAUCGGUUUCCCUGUGUAUCCUCUGAGUUCUUCCAGUUUUGCUUGCUCCUACAACAAGAAAGUUUCAUAUUUACUUGGUGUGCCCUUGACAGAGACUACAAGAAUCAAUAUAAGAGCUAACCUUGUCAUAAGCUUGACGCGUGAUCGGAUCAGAGAGAAGCUGGUAAGCCUCGUUAAGGAUGAUGGCCAUGUCGUGACC